rnacentral:rRNA from 1 species
AGAGUGAACGCUGGCGGUAGGCCUAACACAUGCAAGUCGAACGGCAGCACAGUAGGAGCUUGCUCUUACGGGUGGCGAGUGGCGGACGGGUGAGGAAUACAUCGGAAUCUACCUUUUGGUGGGGGAUAACGUAGGGAAACUUACGCUAAUACCGCAUACGCCCUUCGGGGGAAAGCCGGGGACCAGCAAUGGCCUGGCGCUGAUAGAUGAGCCGAUGUCGGAUUAGCUAGUUGGUGAGGUAAUGGCUCACCAAGGCGACGAUCCGUAGCUGGUCUGAGAGGAUGAUCAGCCACACUGGAACUGAGACACGGUCCAGACUCCUACGGGAGGCAGCAGUGGGGAAUAUUGGACAAUGGGCGCAAGCCUGAUCCAGCCAUACCGCGUGGUGAAGAAGCCGUUCGGUUAGUAAAGGUCCCUUUUGUAGGUAAAGAAAAGCGAUUCGGUUAAUACCCGGUGUUACUGACGUACCGAAAGAAUAAGCAACCGGCUAACUCGUGCCAGCAGCCGUACG